GCGGAGGAACGAACAACUCCAGAGGCGCCGCCCUAAGAGCUGUUAACACUCACCGCGAAGGUCUACAGCUUCACCCCUGAGCCAGCGAGACCACAAACCUACCAGAAGGGGAACACAUCUGAACAUCAGAAGGAGCAAACUCCGGACACGCCGCCUUUAAGAACUGUAACACUCACCGCGAGUGCCCGUGGCUUCAUUCUUGAAGUCAGUGAGACCAAGAACCCACCAAUUCCGGACACAAAACUUUCAAGAUCUUUGCUUCUUAGAAAGUGAUUUGUAGACCAGCAGCCACCUACU
rnacentral:lncRNA from 1 species